ACUUGAUUAAUCAACCCCAAUUUCUUUUUUAUUAGAUAACAAGUCAAGAAUUUCCACAAUUUCAUCUACGCCACUGAAACUGCGAUUGGGCUUCGAACAUGGUGGAUACCAUCAUACCAAGUGUACAGUCCAAAUAGCCUUACAGAAAUGCCUGGUGGAGGAUUUAUACUGACUGUAUAAACACUCCUGCUGUUGCCAACAUUGGUGACUGUUCUGGAAACCAUGAGUGUCCCAUUGAGUUUGGGAACUGCCAGAGAUGGGUAAUUGAGAGAGUUGGGAGAAGGUAGAACUUUAGGGCAUAUGAAUAAGGGAUCAAGAUUGGUGGCAUUUUUGAUGCUGCAGAGGUAGAGAAGAUAAUCUGCGUAGGAUGCAUCAUAGACGAGCCCUGGAUCGGCUGCUUUGGUAGGCCUGAAAUGACCUGAUCCAAAUUGGAAUGGAUCUGCUGGAUUGCCGGAUGCAUCGGUAAUUGGCUUGCCUAGGUUGUUGGAGAUUCCCGCUGGGAGUUAAAAGCACAAGUUAGAGAGAUGGAUGAAAAGAUUAUGUACUUUGGGUAUCUUUGAAUUCUAACGCUGAGUGUUCAUAUAUCUACCAGAGGUUACUAAAGCAGAUCGUAUGGCGGCACUGCUCCAAUCAGGGUGUAUGGCUUUAAGAAGGGCCGAUGCCCCGCCGAUGUGAGGACAGGACAUGGAAGUCCCCGACAGGAUAUUAUACUUGACUACACGUUUGUCUUGAUCUAAUUUUGUCGGCGAAGAUGCUUUGCUCCAUGCUGCCAGGAUGUUGAGCCCUGGAGCUGUGAUAUCUGGCUGUUGAUCCAGCAAGUAAAUGCAUUUAGCUCAUCAAGAAACCAAAAGUAGAUGGAGAAAGUGAUCGAUUAAUCAAUCACUAACCUUGAGAAUAUCAGGGGAAAUGGUGCUGGGGCCUCUGCUGGAGAAGGCAGCCAUGAAGGGGGCUGGUUUGGUGUCCAAAACUGUCUUGGCGGGCACAAUAUAGGCCUUUGGUUCUUUGGUGGAGUUGAUGUAAUUAAGAAUCUUGAGAGCAUUUCUGUAAUUGACAGCAGUGGCUGGAAGAACAUGAGCAUCUGCCACGAGCUCAUCUCCAUUGGGCCUACUGUUGCCUAAGACAUACCCAAUCCCUCCUGCUCUUUUUACCUCCAUUCCUUUUCCAACUCUCGUCCCAUUCCCUCUUAAACACAGGACUAUCUUCCCCUUGGCCUUCUCUGGAGAAAGGGAACCUGGCAAGCACUGCCUGCAAUUAUGCAACAAUAUAUAUCCAAGGAAUUAACAUUGGUUUGUUAGAUAGAUAUGGGCAAACAAAUCUAUAAACUGGGAAAUAGAGAGAUUAUGACCCUGAUACGUCCUGGCCCACUCCCGGAUUGAUUAUAUGAGCUGCGUACACCAGUGGGUAGAGCUUGCGCCUCAGCUUAUAUGGACUUACUGUUUGCCCCUGGAGAAAAGAAUUAAACCCAUCACAAAUUAUAUUCAUUUAUUUUAAUUUAUUUUUUAAAAAACCUAAUUAUUAAUACAUUUACCAUGAGGUUCAUUCCAUUUCCAAGCACAAGUGGUGCCAAGAAUGCCCUGUCAACGCUGCUGGCGCCGACGGUAAUAAUCCACGGCGCCGGGUUUGACAGGGUCGCCGCCGCCGGGCCCGAAUUUCCGGCGCUGCAGGCGACCACGAUAUUCUUUCUAACGGCGUGAAGCGCGCCGACGGCAAUGCCGUCCUGAUGAAACGGCGUGGGAGUUUUCGUCCCUAUGGAAAUGCUCAGCACAUUAACGCCGUCAGCGAUGGCAUCGUCGAUGGCGGCGAGCAUGUCGGCUUCGAAGCACGUGUUGCCGUCUUCUUUGCCUUCCCCCGGCACGGCCCAACACACUUUGUAAAUCGCCAGCCGAGCCAGCGGAGCGCCGCCGGAGGCGGUGCCGCGGGCGAAGCCUCCCAGGGCGGAGACGCGGUCGACGCUCCGGCCGGCGGCGGUGGAAGCGGUGUGGGUCCCGUGGCCGUCCUUGUCACGUGGGGAUCGGUAGUCAAGUGUCUUGUUGAGUGGGCCGUAGGAUGCUUCAUAGGCUUUGACGUAAAAUCUUGCGCCAAUAAUUUUCCUGGAAACAAAACAAGCUCUAGGGGAUUUAACCUAAUUUAAAAAAUUGUUAACUCUAGCUGUUAAUUAAACAAUAGUGGCAGACAGGCUAUAUAUAUAUAUAUAUAUAUAUACUAGAAGAAAGCAAAUUUAUACAAUAACAUAUCAUGUACUAGAUUGGAGUGAUAUAUGGACAG